rnacentral:rRNA from 1 species
UUAAGCGACUAAGCGUACACGGUGGAUGCCCUGGCAGUCAGAGGCGAUGAAGGACGUGCUAAUCUGCGAUAAGCGUCGGUAAGGUGAUAUGAACCGUUAUAACCGGCGAUUUCCGAAUGGGGAAACCCAGUGUGAUUCGUCACACUAUCAUUAACUGAAUCCAUAGGUUAAUGAGGCGAACCGGGGGAACUGAAACAUCUAAGUACCCCGAGGAAAAGAAAUCAACCGAGAUUCCCCCAGUAGCGGCGAGCGAACGGGGAGGAGCCCAGAGCCUGAAUCAGUGUGUGUGUUAGUGGAAGCGUCUGGAAAGGCGCGCGAUACAGGGUGACAGCCCCGUACACAAAAAUGCACAUGCUGUGAGCUCGAUGAGUAGGGCGGGACACGUGGUAUCCUGUCUGAAUAUGGGGGGACCAUCCUCCAAGGCUAAAUACUCCUGACUGACCGAUAGUGAACCAGUACCGUGAGGGAAAGGCGAAAAGAACCCCGGCGAGGGGAGUGAAAAAGAACCUGAAACCGUGUACGUACAAGCAGUGGGAGCACGCUUAGGCGUGUGACUGCGUACCUUUUGUAUAAUGGGUCAGCGACUUAUAUUCUGUAGCAAGGUUAACCGAAUAGGGGAGCCGAAGGGAAACCGAGUCUUAACUGGGCGUUAAGUUGCAGGGUAUAGACCCGAAACCCGGUGAUCUAGCCAUGGGCAGGUUGAAGGUUGGGUAACACUAACUGGAGGACCGAACCGACUAAUGUUGAAAAAUUAGCGGAUGACUUGUGGCUGGGGGUGAAAGGCCAAUCAAACCGGGAGAUAGCUGGUUCUCCCCGAAAGCUAUUUAGGUAGCGCCUCGUGAAUUCAUCUCCGGGGGUAGAGCACUGUUUCGGCAAGGGGGUCAUCCCGACUUACCAACCCGAUGCAAACUGCGAAUACCGGAGAAUGUUAUCACGGGAGACACACGGCGGGUGCUAACGUCCGUCGUGAAGAGGGAAACAACCCAGACCGCCAGCUAAGGUCCCAAAGUCAUGGUUAAGUGGGAAACGAUGUGGGAAGGCCCAGACAGCCAGGAUGUUGGCUUAGAAGCAGCCAUCAUUUAAAGAAAGCGUAAUAGCUCACUGGUCGAGUCGGCCUGCGCGGAAGAUGUAACGGGGCUAAACCAUGCACCGAAGCUGCGGCAGCGACGCUUAUGCGUUGUUGGGUAGGGGAGCGUUCUGUAAGCCUGCGAAGGUGUGCUGUGAGGCAUGCUGGAGGUAUCAGAAGUGCGAAUGCUGACAUAAGUAACGAUAAAGCGGGUGAAAAGCCCGCUCGCCGGAAGACCAAGGGUUCCUGUCCAACGUUAAUCGGGGCAGGGUGAGUCGACCCCUAAGGCGAGGCCGAAAGGCGUAGUCGAUGGGAAACAGGUUAAUAUUCCUGUACUUGGUGUUACUGCGAAGGGGGGACGGAGAAGGCUAUGUUGGCCGGGCGACGGUUGUCCCGGUUUAAGCGUGUAGGCUGGUUUUCCAGGCAAAUCCGGAAAAUCAAGGCUGAGGCGUGAUGACGAGGCACUACGGUGCUGAAGCAACAAAUGCCAUGCUUCCAGGAAAAGCCUCUAAGCAUCAGGUAACAUCAAAUCGUACCCCAAACCGACACAGGUGGUCAGGUAGAGAAUACCAAGGCGCUUGAGAGAACUCGGGUGAAGGAACUAGGCAAAAUGGUGCCGUAACUUCGGGAGAAGGCACGCUGAUAUGUAGGUGAAGCGACUUGCUCGUGGAGCUGAAAUCAGUCGAAGAUACCAGCUGGCUGCAACUGUUUAUUAAAAACACAGCACUGUGCAAACACGAAAGUGGACGUAUACGGUGUGACGCCUGCCCGGUGCCGGAAGGUUAAUUGAUGGGGUCAGCGCAAGCGAAGCUCUUGAUCGAAGCCCCGGUAAACGGCGGCCGUAACUAUAACGGUCCUAAGGUAGCGAAAUUCCUUGUCGGGUAAGUUCCGACCUGCACGAAUGGCGUAAUGAUGGCCAGGCUGUCUCCACCCGAGACUCAGUGAAAUUGAACUCGCUGUGAAGAUGCAGUGUACCCGCGGCAAGACGGAAAGACCCCGUGAACCUUUACUAUAGCUUGACACUGAACAUUGAGCCUUGAUGUGUAGGAUAGGUGGGAGGCUUUGAAGUGUGGACGCCAGUCUGCAUGGAGCCGACCUUGAAAUACCACCCUUUAAUGUUUGAUGUUCUAACGUUGACCCGUAAUCCGGGUUGCGGACAGUGUCUGGUGGGUAGUUUGACUGGGGCGGUCUCCUCCUAAAGAGUAACGGAGGAGCACGAAGGUUGGCUAAUCCUGGUCGGACAUCAGGAGGUUAGUGCAAUGGCAUAAGCCAGCUUGACUGCGAGCGUGACGGCGCGAGCAGGUGCGAAAGCAGGUCAUAGUGAUCCGGUGGUUCUGAAUGGAAGGGCCAUCGCUCAACGGAUAAAAGGUACUCCGGGGAUAACAGGCUGAUACCGCCCAAGAGUUCAUAUCGACGGCGGUGUUUGGCACCUCGAUGUCGGCUCAUCACAUCCUGGGGCUGAAGUAGGUCCCAAGGGUAUGGCUGUUCGCCAUUUAAAGUGGUACGCGAGCUGGGUUUAGAACGUCGUGAGACAGUUCGGUCCCUAUCUGCCGUGGGCGCUGGAGAACUGAGGGGGGCUGCUCCUAGUACGAGAGGACCGGAGUGGACGCAUCACUGGUGUUCGGGUUGUCAUGCCAAUGGCACUGCCCGGUAGCUAAAUGCGGAAGAGAUAAGUGCUGAAAGCAUCUAAGCACGAAACUUGCCCCGAGAUGAGUUCUCCCUGACUCCUUGAGAGUCCUGAAGGAACGUUGAAGACGACGACGUUGAUAGGCCGGGUGUGUAAGCGCAGUGAUGCGUUGAGCUAACCGGUACUAAUGAACCGUGAGGCUUAACCUU